rnacentral:rRNA from 1 species
AGCAGCCGCGGUAAUUCCAGCUCCAAUAGCGUAUAUUAAAGUUGUUGCAGUUAAAAAGCUCGUAGUUGAAUUUCGGAAUCAAUGGAUCGGUCAUGCCACUCGGUGUGUACUGGUUUGAUUGGUUCUCACCUUCUAAGGAACCGUGAUGUCAUUAAUUUGGUGUCGCGGGGAAUUAGGACUGUUACCUUGAAAAAAUUAGAGUGUUUAAAGCAAGCUCACGCUUGAAUACAUUAGCAUGGAAUAAUGAAAUAGGACAUUGUAUUCUAUUUUGUUGGUUUCUAGGAUCGAUGUAAUGAUUAAUAGGGAUAGUUGGGGGCAUUAGUAUUCAAUUGUCAGAGGUGAAAUUCUUGGAUUUAUUGAAGACUAACUACUGCGAAAGCAUUUGCCAAGGAUGUUUUCAUUAAUCAAGAACGAAAGUUAGGGGAUCGAAGACGAUCAGAUACCGUCGUAGUCUUAACCAUAAACUAUGCCGACUAGGGAUCGGAUGAUGU